rnacentral:rRNA from 1 species
ACUCACCUGCCGAAGCAACUAGCCCUGAAAAUGGAUGGCGCUAAAGCUCCGUGCCUAUACCCGGCCGCCGGAAGGCAUUGGCGCGAGGCGUUCCUUCGGGGGCGCCGAGCGCGCAAGGCCCCGGCGAGUAGGAGGGCGCGGCGGCGAGCGCGGAAGGGUCUGGGCGCGAGCCUGCCUGGAGCCGCCGCCGGUGCAGAUCUUGGUGGUAGUAGCAAAUACUCAAGCGAGGGCCUUGAGGGCUGAUGUGGAGAAGGGUUUCGUGUGAACAGCCGUUGCACACGAGUCAGUCGAUCCUAAGCCCUAGGAGAAAUCCGAUGUCGAUGCGGGGGGCUUUUUACAAUCAGUUUCCCCCUCGAUGGGCGAAAGGGAAUCCGGUUCCUAUUCCGGAACCCGGCAGCGGAACCGAAUCUACGGGCCCUCAUCUGAGAAGCUCGUCGGGGUAACCCAAAGGGACCCGGAGACGCCGUCGGGAGACCCGGGCAGAGUUUUCUGUUCUGCAUAAGCGUUCGAGUUCCCUGGAAUCCUCUAGCAGGGAGAUAGGGUUUGGAACGCGAAGAGCACCGCAGUUGCGGCGGUGUCCGGGUCGUCCCCUCGGACCUUGAAAAUCCGGGAGAGGGUCACGCGGAGGUGUCGCGCCGGCUCGUACCCAUAUCCGCAGCAGGUCUCCAAGGUGAAGAGCCUCUAGUCGAUAGAUUAAUGUA